rnacentral:rRNA from 1 species
AACUAUAACGGUCCUAAGGUAGCGAAAUUCCUUGUCAGGUAAGUUCUGACCCGCAUGAAAGGCGUAAUGAUUUGGGCACUGUCUCAACAGCCCGCCCGGCGAAAUUGUAGUACCGGUGAAGAUGCCGGUUACCCGCGACAAGACGGAAAGACCCCAUGGAGCUUUACUGUAGCCUAAUAUUGGGUUUCGAUGUUGCAUGCACAGGAUAGAUGGGACACUGGGAAACAAUCGCUUUGGCGGUUGCGGAGUGGCCGUUGGGAUACCAUCCUUGCGAUAUUGGAAUUCUAACCUGCGGCUCUGAAUCGAGUCGGGGGACAUUGUUAGGUGGGCAGUUUGACUGGGGCGGUCGCCUCCUAAAAAGUAACGGAGGCGUUCAAAGGUUCGCUCAGCUUGAACGGAAAUCAAGCAAAAGAGUGCAAACGCAGAAGCGAGCCUAACUGCGAGACUGACGGGUCGAGCAGUAACGAAAGUUGGAGUUAGUGAUCCGGUGGUAUGUGAGUGGAAAUGCCAUCGCUCAACGGAUAAAAGUUACCCUGGGGAUAACAGGCUGAUCUCCCCCAAGAGUCCACAUCGACGGGGAGGUUUGGCACCUCGAUGUCGGCUCAUCGCAUCCUGGGGCUGUAGUAGGUCCCAAGGGUUGGGCUGUUCGCCCAUUAAAGCGGUACGCGAGCUGGGUUCAGAACGUCGUGAGACAGUUCGGUCCCUAUCUGUCGUGGGCGCAGGAUAUUUGAUGGGAGCUGUCCCUAGUACGAGAGGACCGGGACGGACGUACCUCUGGCGCACCAGUUGUUCCGCCAGGAGCAUAGCUGGGCAACUACGUACGGAUCGGAUAAACGCUGAAAGCAUCUAAGCGUGAAGCCGACCCAAAGAUAAGAUAUCCCAUUGUUUUAAACAAGUAAGACCCCUUGAAGACUACAAGGUUGAUAGGCACGAUGUGUAAGUGGAGUGAUCCAUUCAGCAAGCGUGUACUAAUAGGUCGAGGGCUUGACCAC